UGCGGGAUCGUCUAAUGGUAGGACUGUGCCCUUUGAAGGCAUCUAUCUUGGUUCGAAUCCAAGUCCCGCAG
rfam:Parcubacteria bacterium GW2011_GWA2_39_18 TT37_C0010, whole genome shotgun sequence.